GACAGAGGGUGCAAACGUUGUUCGGAAUUACUGGGCGUAAAGCGAGUGUAGGCGGUCUUGAAAGUCGGAUGUGAAAGCCCUGGGCUCAACCCAGGAAGUGCAUUCGAUACUCCGAGGCUAGAGUACUGGAGAGGUGGGUGGAAUUCUCGGUGUAGAGGUGAAAUCCGUAGAUAUCGAGAGGAACACCGGCGGCGAAGGCGACUACCUGGCCUGUUCUUGACGCUGAGGCGCGAAAGCUAGGGGAGCAAACGGG
rnacentral:rRNA from 1 species